rnacentral:rRNA from 1 species
UGGGGAAUCUUGGACAAUGGGGGCAACCCUGAUCCAGCCAUGCCGCGUGGAUGAUGAAGGCCUUAGGGUUGUAAAGUCCUUUCGACGGGGAAGAUAAUGACGGUACCCGUAGAAGAAGCCCCGGCUAACUCCGUGCCAGCAGCCGCGGUAAUACGGAGGGGGCUAGCGUUGUUCGGAAUUACUGGGCGUAAAGCGCGCGUAGGCGGUUUUGUAAGUCAGAGGUGAAAUCCCGGAGCUCAACUUCGGAAUGGCCUUUGAGACUGCAAGGCUUGAGGACGGGAGAGGUGAGUGGAAUUCCCAGUGUAGAGGUGAAAUUCGUAGAUAUUGGGAAGAACACCGGUGGCGAAGGCGGCUCACUGGCCCGUUUCUGACGCUGAGGCGCGAAAGCGUGGGGAGCAAA